rnacentral:rRNA from 1 species
CAGUCGCCGCGGGAAUACGUAGGGUGCGAGCGUUAAUCGGAAUUACUGGGCGUAAAGCGUGCGCAGGCGGUUUUGUAAGACAGGCGUGAAAUCCCCGGGCUCAACCUGGGAAUGGCGCUUGUGACUGCAAAGCUAGAGUGCGGCAGAGGGGGAUGGAAUUCCGCGUGUAGCAGUGAAAUGCGUAGAGAUGUGGAGGAACACCGAUGGCGAAGGCAGCCCCCUGGGCCAAUACUGACGCUCAUGCACGAAAGCGUGGGGAGCAAACAGGAUUAGAUACCCCGGUAGUCCCUGUCUCUUAUAC